GACGAACGCUGGCGGCGUGCUUAACACAUGCAAGUCGAGCGGUAAGGCCCUUCGGGUACGACGAGCGGCGAACGGGUGAGUAACACGUGGGUGACCUGCCCUCAGCUCUGGGAUAAGCCCGGGAAACUGGGUCUAAUACCGGAUAUGACCUCUCAUCGCAUGGUGGGUGGUGGAAAGUCGGUGUCAUUGAUGCCGGCGGUUGGGGAUGGGCCCGCGGCCUAUCAGCUUGUU
rnacentral:rRNA from 1 species